rnacentral:rRNA from 1 species
UGCAGUCGAGCGGCAGCACAGAGGAACUUGUUCCUUGGGUGGCGAGCGGCGGACGGGUGAGUAAUGCCUGGGAAAUUGCCCUGAUGUGGGGGAUAACCAUUGGAAACGAUGGCUAAUACCGCAUGAUGCCUACGGGCCAAAGAGGGGGACCUUCGGGCCUCUCGCGUCAGGAUAUGCCCAGGUGGGAUUAGCUAGUUGGUGAGGUAAUGGCUCACCAAGGCGACGAUCCCUAGCUGGUCUGAGAGGAUGAUCAGCCACACUGGAACUGAGACACGGUCCAGACUCCUACGGGAGGCAGCAGUGGGGAAUAUUGCACAAUGGGCGCAAGCCUGAUGCAGCCAUGCCGCGUGUAUGAAGAAGGCCUUCGGGUUGUAAAGUACUUUCAGUCGUGAGGAAGGUUGUAGUGUGAAUAGCACUAUGAUUUGACGUUAGCGACAGAAGAAGCACCGGCUAACUCCGUGCCAGCAGCCGCGGUAAUACGGAGGGUGCGAGCGUUAAUCGGAAUUACU